UUUUUCAUAUCUUCCAACAUCAGGUAAGCCAAUCACCAUGUUCUUUUGCUUGAGUUUACUAGAUUACUAAUUAUAUCUCAACAUAUAUAUUACACAAUUCUGGAAAUAGUUUGAUCUAUUUUUCUAUUAGUCUCAAUAGAUUCUUAUUCACCCUGCAAUUUCCAUUGCUGAUUUUGUCGUUCUAUUAGUUGCUUGUUUUAAAUUAUUUUCAUUUUCAAUGAAUUUUGGUCUUGGUUGUGCAGGAAUUGGCAUUGUGAUAAUUUGAGGUUUAUUGCUAACGCUAUCAUGGAUUGACGAAUUGGAUUUGGUUAUGAACUGAGUUAGCCAUCGGUUAUUAGCAGUUUCUGAACAAGGAGCAAGAAGAUACCAGUGAGGACCUGGAUUUCAGAAGCAAUUCUUUUAUUUUGCUUUUAUUUUGAAUCAUUAGCAUUUUCUUUUUCUCGUUUGGUUUCAGAUAUUGGUGGCAUUGGGUAGUGGGUUUGUUUCUCGAAUCAUGAUGAUGCCAAUGUGAUUGCAAACAGCAGAGUCUAAAAUUUAUACGACCUUGUGAUUUGUCCUAUAUUUUUUUACUAAUGUUUGCUUAAUUUUUUUUCCUUUUUGUUCUUUUUUGAGUGAUCUCCAUAAUUAAUCAAGAACCAAAAUAUC
rnacentral:lncRNA from 1 species